rnacentral:rRNA from 1 species
GAUGAACGCUAGCUACAGGCUUAACACAUGCAAGUCGCGGGGCAGCAUGGGGGUUGCUUGCAAUCCCCGAUGGCGACCGGCGCACGGGUGAGUAACGCGUAUCCAACCUACCCUUCACCACGGGAUAACCCGGCGAAAGUCGGACUAAUACCGUAUGUUGUCCAUUGACGGCAUCCGAUUUGGACGAAAGGUUUGGCGGUGAAGGAUGGGGAUGCGUCCGAUUAGCUGGACGGCGGGGUGACGGCCCACCGUGGCGACGAUCGGUAGGGGUUCUGAGAGGAAGGUCCCCCACACUGGAACUGAGACACGGUCCAGACUCCUACGGGAGGCAGCAGUGAGGAAUAUUGGUCAAUGGGCGUAAGCCUGAACCAGCCAAGUAGCGUGCAGGAUGACGGCCCUAUGGGUUGUAAACUGCUUUUAUGCGGGGAUAAAGUGGCCCACGUGUGGGUUUUUGCAGGUACCGCAUGAAUAAGGACCGGCUAAUUCCGUG